ensembl:lncRNA SCN1A-AS1 SCN1A and SCN9A antisense RNA 1
ACCACAGUCAUUCUCCUGAAAUGCACAGCUGAGGGAAAGAAGAAUGUCAGAUGCCCCGCGAACGUGCAGAAGCUCCCAGUUGCAUCACCCUGGCGUGCCAGGUAUUGCAGCAAAUAGGAAAGGAACUUGACAUCAUCAGACAGUAAAUCAAGAGGUACUGACAACUGAGACUGAGUGAUGGUCCCUGCCUAGGAUUUGGAAUCUUUGCAUGAAAUAGGGACUCUAGCCACCAGCGACAAAGAAGUCAGGGAGACUGC